GUAAGAAAACGUCGGACAACAGAAGGCGAGCCGGUGUGUGAUUAAAAGAAGCCCAAGGGAGCGUGAAAAAACGCCCAAUCUGGCAACGCUGCUGAACGUCCUCACGCUCCAGCGGCAACGUAGAUCAAUGAGACCAACUGAAAACGAACCCGCCGGAACUUGUCCGGACUGAUUCUAGUGGGGAUUGCAGUACGGAACACAGCCGCUUCGCUACCGUACCGCUUCCGUGACGGUUCUGGUGGAAAUUGGCCUUCACAAACGAGGUGGAACCCAUGGGCCAAGCCGAGUUGAACACAUCCUAGGAAGAUAUUUUCCGCCAUAUUUGAUCAAACAGCUUUAACAGGCCUCUCUUGUUACAAAUGUUGUCUAAUCUUUUCGAAAUGUCCCCACGGCCAUCCGACUCCCCCCCCCACCCGACCAGUCUCCCCACUGGGUGAUCUAAUGGUCUGUUCGUUUUACCCAAUCACGUGAGCUCUCUGCACUUUGGCACUCUAUAUUUAUUAUAUUAUUUAUUUACUCACUCAUUUUGCACUAUUUAUGUUGGUUUUGCACUGUCUUGUCCUGUCUUGUCUGUCCUGUUGUAAACUCCACUGUACCAAAACAAAUUCCAAACAUGUUUACAUGUCAUGGCGAAUAAAGUGAUCUGAAUCUGAAUCAGAUGAUCUUCCGACCAUGCUGCACGAAAGUAUUCAACAGCUUCUUGGAAUUCAAAAACGUUUGGCCGUGACAACCAAUCGAACUUGAUGGCUUAGUCACCAAACUGGAUGUAAGACAAUCGUCGGGCCAAGUUCCAAAUCGAAGAUCUGCUUGAUUGAUGACUUGUAUUUCUACUAUGUAUUUGCAAUGCACUCGCUAAGCCUGUUGUUAAAUUGUUGUUAGAUUGUUAAAAUAAAAUAUGGAAGAAAUAACUUCCCUAUAAUGUCG
ensembl:lncRNA